UCUUACUUCUGUCUUCGUCGUCCUCGCGUGACCUUUAGUUCUCGUUUGUUUAGCGCCUUGCACUGGCUUCUCCUCUCUUCUCGUUGUCGUUCUCUCUAUUUCUCUUUUCCUCUUCCUCUAGGGUUAGAUACAUUCUCAGACUUUGUUUCCUCCUCCGCCGCCGCAUCGUCUCCCUCUCCUCUCCUCUUCUAUAUCGGCUCGUUCUCUACCGUUUCUUCUUCUGUUUUCUUAUUUUUUAGUUUUCCCGUCUUUUUCU
rnacentral:lncRNA from 1 species